rnacentral:rRNA from 1 species
CCUACGGGAGGCAGCAGUGGGGAAUAUUGGACAAUGGGCGGAAGCCUGAUCCAGCAACGCCGCGUGAGGGAUGACGGCCUUCGGGUUGUAAACCUCUUUCAGUACCGACGAAGCGAAAGUGACGGUAGGUACAGAAGAAGCACCGGCCAACUACGUGCCAGCAGCCGCGGUAAUACGUAGGGUGCGAGCGUUGUCCGGAAUUAUUGGGCGUAAAGGGCUCGUAGGCGGUUUGUCGCGUCGGGAGUGAAAACACUGGGCUUAACUCAGUGCUUGCUUUCGAUACGGGCAGACUAGAGGUAUGCAGGGGAGAACGGAAUUCCUGGUGUAGCGGUGAAAUGCGCAGAUAUCAGGAGGAACACCGGUGGCGAAGGCGGUUCUCUGGGCAUUACCUGACGCUGAGGAGCGAAAGUGUGGGGAGCGAACAGGAUUAGAUACCCUGGUAGUCCACACCGUAAACGUUGGGCGCUAGGUGUGGGGUCCAUUCCACGGAUUCCGUGCCGCAGCUACGCAUAGCGCCCGCCGUCGGAGGUACGGCGCGAGACGAACGUACAANAGAGUAGACGGCGUGAGAGUUGCGAGGCGACGACGAGGGAGAGG